CGUACACUCCUACGGGAGGCAGCAGUGGGGAAUAUUGGACAAUGGGCGCAAGCCUGAUCCAGCCAUGCCGCGUGAGUGAUGAAGGCCCUAGGGUUGUAAAGCUCUUUCACCGGUGAAGAUAAUGACGGUAACCGGAGAAGAAGCCCCGGCUAACUUCGUGCCAGCAGCCGCGGUAAUACGAAGGGGGCUAGCGUUGUUCGGAUUUACUGGGCGUAAAGCGCACGUAGGCGGACUAUUAAGUCAGGGGUGAAAUCCCGGGGCUCAACCCCGGAACUGCCUUUGAUACUGGUAGUCUUGAGUUCGAGAGAGGUGAGUGGAAUUCCGAGUGUAGAGGUGAAAUUCGUAGAUAUUCGGAGGAACCCCAGUGGCGAAGGCGGCUCACUGGCUCGAUACUGACGCUGAGGUGCGAAAGCGUGGGGAGCAAACAGGAUUAGAAACCCUAGUAGUCCCAUGAU
rnacentral:rRNA from 1 species